rnacentral:tRNA from 1 species
GUGCGGUUGGCGCAGUGGUCAGCGCGUUCACCUCCUAAACUGGGACCCCCACUUCAGGAUCAUUCAAGGAGGGGUGGCAGCCUCCACAUCACCUACCGUUAGGAUGACCUGAAGUCCAGCCGGCUGUAAAAGGACCCGAGUUCGAAUCUCGGACCGCACA